AGCGGCCAGCUCAAAUGAUGACAAGUCUCUACAGUUUAAGGAUCUGCUUGUUUGCUGUUUGUGAUCUAAAUGGAACUCAGGGCUAGCACAUGCUAGCAAGAGUUCUACCAUUAAGCUACACCACCAGCCCUUGGUUUUGGGGGUUUGGGGGUCUUUUUUUUUGAUUUUUGUUUGUUUUUGUUUUUUUGAGAUAGGGUUUCCCUACAUAGCUCAGGCUGGCCACAAACUCAUGAUCCUCUUGCCUCUCCAUCCUGAGUGUUGAAAUUUAAGCUGUGUGUCACCAUACCCAGCUAAAUGAGGUCUUGAAAGAAAGAAUUCCAACUGUAUUUUGUCUUUCCAGGGGCUUCCAGGCUGUUGAGCCUUUUUGUGACAGGGUGUUAACUCUUACAUCCCAGGCUGGCCUUGAACUUUUGGCAAUCCUAAUUUAAAUCUCUAUGCUAGAAUUUCAGGACUGUAGAUUUUCACUAACAGGCCAUUAGUUUUCUAGACUGGUGAAACCAGGGAGGGUAGAGAAUGAUCCAAGAAUAAGACAAGCUGAAAACACUACACCACAUCAUUUUUUUUCCUGAAACUUUGUUUAUUUUGUUUGUUUGUUUUUCCAAGACAGGGUUUCUCUGUAUUGCUUUGGAGCCUGUCUCCAAAGCUCCCUCUGCAGACCAGUACUUUGACUCUUUUUGGAAAUAGGACCUUUUUAAAUAUUUUAUUGUUAUUGUGGGGUAGAGGCAUGCCCAUGCCAUGGCAUGUGUGCAUGCAGAGGUCAGAAGACAACUUUGCGGAGCUGGUUUUAUCACUGUGCUUUUAUGUGGGUCCCAGGGAUUGAAUUCAAGCCAUCAAGCUUACUCAGCAAGCAUUUUAUCCACUGAGCCAUCUCACCAGCCUAAGAAAGAACAGUUUCAUUGUUUAUCUUAACUCGUGGCAUGUGGACUAGUUCACAUAGCUGCUAUGCACGUUCAGCAGUACAAGCUGGUCUCCAUAACCUAUUAAGCAAAAAACAUUCACUGAGUCCACCCUGGACAUCCACAAAGCCAUGGUUCUCUGCUUCCCAAUGCUGCCUCUUCACUCUUCCCGAGUAGUAACAAACUCUCAGUGGCACUUCACUAGGGAGCAAUCCUGAAUAAGCUAGUGUUGCCCUCCACAACAGAAUUUUUAAGACAACUGUAUUGGUUUCCUCUUAAACAUCCGAGAAAUGCAGUGCCAAAGUAAGAAUUUCUCAUAUUCCCACAGACAGAGAGGACCACUGCUAAUAUUUUUGCCAGGUAUGAGCUGUCUAGUUUUUAUACUGUUCUUUAUAUAAUUAUAUCAUUUGCCUUAUGAAAAAUGAACUUGUUCUGCAUAUAUAUUUUGCAACUUAUUAACUUGCUUGGCCAUAGUAUAUUUACAUUCCCCUUGAUUUUUUGGGUUUUGUUUUUGUUUUGUUUUGUUUUGUUUUUCCAGGCCUGGGCAUGGAUCUUGCAUGUCUUAGGCAAGCGCUCUGUCCCUGGGCUACAUCCCCAGCCCCUCCUCCUCAGUAGCCAUGUGCAAUCCACUUCCUCUAUAGGCAGUAUUUGUUAGCCUAAGAUGGUUAGUAAACUUCCAGGCACAGAUCCCAUUUCCAGACUUAGCAACUUACAGUCCAGUGGAACUUAUAGGUACCAUCUCCAUAUUGUGUGGCAAGCCUCAUAAACAGCACAAUUUGCCACCUGAGUGAUGUCUGGUGAUUUCCGGAUGUUUCCAUCUUGCUAUCAUGUUCUUGGUGCCAUUCACAUGUUAUAGUAAGUGUGCAUUUCCCACUUGGCACCUUUACACACCCAAGGAGACCAUUCCAAUCCAUGUCUGCCACUCAUACUGUCCUUGGGUCUAUAAGCUUGGGUUUGGACUGGAGACAUUCAGAAGUCUUCAGGAGCCAAACCAAGAGAAGAAGCCCAGCACGAGCAAGACAAUGUCCAUUCCAUUGUCCAUUGCUGACCUUUGGAUAGCUUGUACCUUUUAGAAAUCUGUGAGACAUUUCCAGAAGAGCCAAAGCACGGCAAGAAACUGAUUUAUUCUUUGACCGAAACACCUUUUCUCUUCAUUUCUGCUAAGAGCAAAUAGCUUCCAGCAAGAUUAAUAAAAAUUUAGAGCCAGGCAUGGUGACCCAAGCCUUUAAUCCCAGCAGUCCGAUGGCAGGGGUAGACGGAUUUCUAUGAUUUCAAGGCCAGCCUGGUCUAUAUAUAGCACGAGUUUCAGUACAGGCAGGGCUAAACAGAGAAACCCUAUCUUGAAAAAAAAUCAUAGUUUUACACAGAAUUUCUCUUAUCUAUGCUCUCAAAAAAUGUGCAUGCAUGUGUAUGGGUGUGUGUGUGGUAAAUGCAUGUUGCACAUGGAUGUGCAGGUACACUAACCCAUACACACAUGGGCAGAGGUUGAUGUUGGGUACCUUCUUCCACCAUUCUUCACACUGAUUUUUGAGGCAGGGUCUCUCAUUGAACCUGGAGCUCAUUGUUUUAUUCAGCUUGAUUGGCUGGCAAGCAAGAUCCCAAGAUCCACCCAUCUCUGCUCCCAUAUAUACCUAGGAGUUUAACAUGGAUGCUGGGGGCUCAAAAUCAGGUCCUCAAACUUGUCCAGCAAGCACUUGGUCCACUUUGUCCCCAGCCCAUUUUGUAUAUCUUUUGGUUUGGGG
rnacentral:lncRNA from 1 species